rnacentral:rRNA from 2 species
GGUUAAGCGACUAAGCGUACACGGUGGAUGCCCUGGCAGUCAGAGGCGAUGAAGGACGUGCUAAUCUGCGAUAAGCGUCGGUAAGGUGAUAUGAACCGUUAUAACCGGCGAUUUCCGAAUGGGGAAACCCAGUGUGUUUCGACACACUAUCAUUAACUGAAUCCAUAGGUUAAUGAGGCGAACCGGGGGAACUGAAACAUCUAAGUACCCCGAGGAAAAGAAAUCAACCGAGAUUCCCCCAGUAGCGGCGAGCGAACGGGGAGCAGCCCAGAGCCUGAAUCAGUGUGUGUGUUAGUGGAAGCGUCUGGAAAGGCGCGCGAUACAGGGUGACAGCCCCGUACACAAAAAUGCACAUGCUGUGAGCUCGAUGAGUAGGGCGGGACACGUGGUAUCCUGUCUGAAUAUGGGGGGACCAUCCUCCAAGGCUAAAUACUCCUGACUGACCGAUAGUGAACCAGUACCGUGAGGGAAAGGCGAAAAGAACCCCGGCGAGGGGAGUGAAAAAGAACCUGAAACCGUGUACGUACAAGCAGUGGGAGCACGCUUAGGCGUGUGACUGCGUACCUUUUGUAUAAUGGGUCAGCGACUUAUAUUCUGUAGCAAGGUUAACCGAAUAGGGGAGCCGAAGGGAAACCGAGUCUUAACUGGGCGUUAAGUUGCAGGGUAUAGACCCGAAACCCGGUGAUCUAGCCAUGGGCAGGUUGAAGGUUGGGUAACACUAACUGGAGGACCGAACCGACUAAUGUUGAAAAAUUAGCGGAUGACUUGUGGCUGGGGGUGAAAGGCCAAUCAAACCGGGAGAUAGCUGGUUCUCCCCGAAAGCUAUUUAGGUAGCGCCUCGUGAAUUCAUCUCCGGGGGUAGAGCACUGUUUCGGCAAGGGGGUCAUCCCGACUUACCAACCCGAUGCAAACUGCGAAUACCGGAGAAUGUUAUCACGGGAGACACACGGCGGGUGCUAACGUCCGUCGUGAAGAGGGAAACAACCCAGACCGCCAGCUAAGGUCCCAAAGUCAUGGUUAAGUGGGAAACGAUGUGGGAAGGCCCAGACAGCCAGGAUGUUGGCUUAGAAGCAGCCAUCAUUUAAAGAAAGCGUAAUAGCUCACUGGUCGAGUCGGCCUGCGCGGAAGAUGUAACGGGGCUAAACCAUGCACCGAAGCUGCGGCAGCGACGCUUAUGCGUUGUUGGGUAGGGGAGCGUUCUGUAAGCCUGUGAAGGUGUGCUGUGAGGCAUGCUGGAGGUAUCAGAAGUGCGAAUGCUGACAUAAGUAACGAUAAAGCGGGUGAAAAGCCCGCUCGCCGGAAGACCAAGGGUUCCUGUCCAACGUUAAUCGGGGCAGGGUGAGUCGACCCCUAAGGCGAGGCCGAAAGGCGUAGUCGAUGGGAAACAGGUUAAUAUUCCUGUACUUGGUGUUACUGCGAAGGGGGGACGGAGAAGGCUAUGUUGGCCGGGCGACGGUUGUCCCGGUUUAAGCGUGUAGGCUGGUUUUCCAGGCAAAUCCGGAAAAUCAAGGCUGAGGCGUGAUGACGAGGCACUACGGUGCUGAAGCAACAAAUGCCCUGCUUCCAGGAAAAGCCUCUAAGCAUCAGGUAACAUCAAAUCGUACCCCAAACCGACACAGGUGGUCAGGUAGAGAAUACCAAGGCGCUUGAGAGAACUCGGGUGAAGGAACUAGGCAAAAUGGUGCCGUAACUUCGGGAGAAGGCACGCUGAUAUGUAGGUGAAGUCCCUCGCGGAUGGAGCUGAAAUCAGUCGAAGAUACCAGCUGGCUGCAACUGUUUAUUAAAAACACAGCACUGUGCAAACACGAAAGUGGACGUAUACGGUGUGACGCCUGCCCGGUGCCGGAAGGUUAAUUGAUGGGGUUAGCCGCAAGGCGAAGCUCUUGAUCGAAGCCCCGGUAAACGGCGGCCGUAACUAUAACGGUCCUAAGGUAGCGAAAUUCCUUGUCGGGUAAGUUCCGACCUGCACGAAUGGCGUAAUGAUGGCCAGGCUGUCUCCACCCGAGACUCAGUGAAAUUGAACUCGCUGUGAAGAUGCAGUGUACCCGCGGCAAGACGGAAAGACCCCGUGAACCUUUACUAUAGCUUGACACUGAACAUUGAGCCUUGAUGUGUAGGAUAGGUGGGAGGCUUAGAAGUGUGGACGCCAGUCUGCAUGGAGCCGACCUUGAAAUACCACCCUUUAAUGUUUGAUGUUCUAACGUUGACCCGUAAUCCGGGUUGCGGACAGUGUCUGGUGGGUAGUUUGACUGGGGCGGUCUCCUCCUAAAGAGUAACGGAGGAGCACGAAGGUUGGCUAAUCCUGGUCGGACAUCAGGAGGUUAGUGCAAUGGCAUAAGCCAGCUUGACUGCGAGCGUGACGGCGCGAGCAGGUGCGAAAGCAGGUCAUAGUGAUCCGGUGGUUCUGAAUGGAAGGGCCAUCGCUCAACGGAUAAAAGGUACUCCGGGGAUAACAGGCUGAUACCGCCCAAGAGUUCAUAUCGACGGCGGUGUUUGGCACCUCGAUGUCGGCUCAUCACAUCCUGGGGCUGAAGUAGGUCCCAAGGGUAUGGCUGUUCGCCAUUUAAAGUGGUACGCGAGCUGGGUUUAGAACGUCGUGAGACAGUUCGGUCCCUAUCUGCCGUGGGCGCUGGAGAACUGAGGGGGGCUGCUCCUAGUACGAGAGGACCGGAGUGGACGCAUCACUGGUGUUCGGGUUGUCAUGCCAAUGGCACUGCCCGGUAGCUAAAUGCGGAAGAGAUAAGUGCUGAAAGCAUCUAAGCACGAAACUUGCCCCGAGAUGAGUUCUCCCUGACCCUUUAAGGGUCCUGAAGGAACGUUGAAGACGACGACGUUGAUAGGCCGGGUGUGUAAGCGCAGCGAUGCGUUGAGCUAACCGGUACUAAUGAACCGUGAGGCUUAACCUU